rnacentral:rRNA from 1 species
UACAGAGGAUGCAAGCGUUAUCCGGAAUGAUUGGGCGUAAAGCGUCUGUAGGUGGCUUUUUAAGUCCGCCGUCAAAUCCCAGGGCUCAACUCUGGACAGGCGGUGGAAACUACCAAGCUGGAGUACGGUAGGGGCAGAGGGAAUUUCCGGUGGAGCGGUGAAAUGCGUAGAGAUCGGAAAGAACGCCGGUGGCGAAAGCGACGUGCUGGACCCCUUCUGACGCUGAGGCGCGAAAGCCAGGGGAGCAAACGGG